GCACGCAGACAGGGGAGUGACUAGGGCUCAGAAACGUACAGACAGCGACAUAACAGGGGAAGACAAAUGCAAUGAACUGUAAUGGAUGACAAAUAACCAGAUAUGAAUAAUCAUAAAUAACAAAAAUGACAAAUAAACAAACAGACUAGAAUCAGAAACAUUACAGACUGUUCCGUUAAAACUGAUUUCCUAAGCGGGAAUCGAACCCAUUAGAGCGCAGCAAUGUCGAAGACUGCAUUACGCUUUCUUGGUCUGAUCAUUUGAGACAAUUCAGCGCGGCUUACCUGUAUUUACAAGAGGUAAAUGGGCUAAUUUAAAUUCUUUAUCAGCGGAUUAUGUAUUGUUACGCAGCUUAAUCUUAUUUCAUUUGCGGUUCGCUGUCGAUCAUAGCUGUUGUCCUACAGUUUUAGAGGUGAACUACCAAACGAGAUUCGAAUCAAGUCGUAUCAAUUGAAUUAACGUUAGUUUUAACAUUUAUACGAACAACGGAAUAGUAACAACAGAGAGAUGGAGAAAUGCCUGCUGUGGCCAGACCACAUUGCUCAAAGAGUUCCAGAAGUAUGUGCGUCGAUUUCACUCUCAGAAGCAACAGCACCAGCACAGGGAACUGUCUGGGGGAGUCUGCUGGUUCUGCACCAGCACAGGGGGCUGUGGGGCAGAGUCAAUACCAGCGGCCAAAUCCACCCAUCUCACCAUCUGGCCCAUGGAGGAGCACAUUGAUUUCAAUGACACAAGGCCCUCCCAGUUCAACCUUGGCCCCAACCUCAGUACAGCAACCCCUCUCCAGCAUGCACCACUGUCUCAAUAAGCAGAAGACCCACCAACUUCAGCUACAGCAUCAGUCACCAGUCCCAGUGCAGCUGUGGGGAGUCCCCCAGUGCCAUGUCCUACUGUGUCAGUAAGUAAUGUAAUAUUUAAAUGUGCCGUUAACACAGAACCAGCUACUUAAUCUCUUAUUGUCUAUUUAUGAAUGGACAAGUACAUGCUGUCAUUUUCAGACAGUGUGCAGACCAUGCCAGAGCCACUGACAGUUCAACCUCCCUAUCUGUGGUUGGAUACCUUACCACCAGAGGACCACAAAUGGAGCGCAACCAUGGUCUUCAGGGUGGGGGCCAAAGGCAAACCAGAGCUGUAGGGCAACCACCACAGCCAGGCCUCCUGGGCCAUCAGGCUUUGACUCCCGACAGGUUCUUCCCACCCUCUCCUGCUGUGGGUGCCCUGCAAACUGUGGAGGCUGAAGGUGGUCUGUCCCACUCCUGAUUGUAGAAGGCGCCAAUGAACGGGUGCAGGUCUGCACAAGAGGGCACGACAGGUUCUGGACAUUGACUGGAUAGUAGUGCAAUAAGUCCCAUGUCUCCUGGAGCCAGACUGUCCUGCAGCAGGUGGAUUUGGCCCACCAAUCAGAGUUCAGUACGAUCUUCACGCAGAAUUGGGUCAAAGCUCUUUCAUCAUAAAUGUAACGUCAUCUUCACAUGUGGCGGCACGGAUGGUGCAGUGGGUAGCACUGCCACCUCACAGCAAGGAGGUCCUGGGCUCGAAACCCUGUCGGCCGGGGCCUCUCUGUGCGGAGUUUGCAUGUUCUCCCUGUGUUUGCGUGGGUUUCCUCCGGGUACUCCGGUUUCCUCCCACAGUCCAAAGACAUGCACGUUAGGCUGACUGGAGAGUCUAAAUUGCCCAUAGGUAUGAGUGUGUGAGUGAAUGGUGUGUGUGCCCUGUGAUGGACUGGCGACCUGUCCAGGGUGUAUUCCUGCCUUUCGCCCAAUGUAUGCUGGGAUAGGCUCCAGCCCCCCUGCGACCCUAUUCAGGAUAAGCGGGUUAAGAUAAUGGAUGGAUCUUCACAUGUUAUAAGGUGUAUCCAUCCCAACUUUAGCAUGGGCCAACUAUUUGCUCAACCUUUUUACAGUGAAUUGCAUGUAAUCCUCUACUUAAGACCAUGAAAAUGUGAAAUUUGUUUUUGUAAAAUACAUUAUUUUAUUUUCAUGGGCCAUUACAGAUUGUUGCAUUCAGUCAAUAUUUUCAAUAAAGAUAACAUCAUGUUAUUGGACACCCAAUAAUCUAGAAAUGUUGUUAAAAAUCUGU